rnacentral:rRNA from 1 species
UAGGGAAUCUUCGGCAAUGGGGGCAACCCUGACCGAGCAACGCCGCGUGAGUGAAGAAGGUUUUCGGAUCGUAAAGCUCUGUUGUAAGUCAAGAACGGGUGUGAGAGUGGAAAGUUCACACUGUGACGGUAGCUUACCAGAAAGGGACGGCUAACUACGUGCCAGCAGCCGCGGUAAUACGUAGGUCCCGAGCGUUGUCCGGAUUUAUUGGGCGUAAAGCGAGCGCAGGCGGUUUGAUAAGUCUGAAGUUAAAGGCUGUGGCUCAACCAUAGUUCGCUUUGGAAACUGUCAAACUUGAGUGCAGAAGGGGAGAGUGGAAUUCCAUGUGUAGCGGUGAAAUGCGUAGAUAUAUGGAGGAACACCGGUGGCGAAAGCGGCUCUCUGGUCUGUAACUGACGCUGAGGCUCGAAAGCGUGGGGAGCGAACAGGAUUAGAUACCCUGGUAGUCCACGCCGUAAACGAUGAGUGCUAGGUGUUGGAUCCUUUCCGGGAUUCAGUGCCGCAGCUAACGCAUUAAGCACUCCGCCUGGGGAGUACGACCGCAAGGUUGAA